GGAAGGUCCGGGCGUUAUCCGGAUUUAUCGGGUUUAAAGGGAGCGUAGAUGGAUGUUUAAGUCAGUUGUGAAAGUUUGCGGCUCAACCGUAAAAUUGCAGUUGAUACUGGAUGUCUUGAGUGCAGUUGAGGCAGGCGGAAUUCGUGGUGUAGCGGUGAAAUGCUUAGAUAUCACGAAGAACUCCGAUUGCGAAGGCAGCACACUAAGCCGUAACUGACGUUCAUGCUCGAAAGUGAGGGUAUCAAACAGGAUUAGAUACCCUGGUAGUCCACACGGUAAACGAUGGAUACUCGCUGUUGGCGAUAUACGGUCAGCGGCUUAGCGAAAGCGUUAAGUAUCCCACCUGGGGAGU
rnacentral:rRNA from 1 species